rnacentral:rRNA from 1 species
UACGGGGGGGGUAAGCGUUGUUCGGAAUUACUGGGCGUAAAGGGCUCGUAGGCGGCCAACUAAGUCGGACGUGAAAUCCCUCAGCUUAACUGGGGAACUGCGUCCGAUACUGGAUGGCUUGGAUUUGGGAGAGGGAAGCGGAAUUUCGGGUGUAGCGGUGAAAUGCGCAGAUAUCCGAAGGAACACCGGUGGCGAAGGCGGCUUCCUGGACCGACACUGACGCUGAGGCGCGAAAGCUAGGGGAGCAAACGGG